GUCUUGACAAGAAGAUGCUUGCUUGUAAGAAGCAAAAAAUGGCUUUCUUCAAAGGAUGUAGAAGUAGGAUAAGAAAGUGAGCAUGAGAACCUGAAGCAGGCUUUUGUUCUUGCUGUCUCCGAGUCUUGGCGCAGAAUCAAGUAACAGAUUUCAAGAAGUUGGAAGCAUGAUCUACUUAUUCUGGAAGAAGAUAUUGAGGCAGUGAAUGCUUCUAAAAUUGUUUCCCUUAAAAAAAGUGCUGUGGCCAUGCUUGUGAUUGAAAUAGAAGAAAGGAUACUCAGACGGAAAGAAGCUCAGGAAAUUCAAUUUGACAAAUUCCUCAAUGUCCUAGAGACAGAGAAUUGUGCCUAUGGGAGAAAACAAUGCUCCUGGAGAGAUGAGAGCAAGCCCUGGAAACCCACUGACUGCCUUUGGCAGAGGAUAUUCUCCUGGAACCAAAAGUUCUUCAGUCCAGAGCUCUCAUUCCACCUGUCUUCCUGCAUACACAUAUCUGGAGAGAGUGAAACCCCAAAUCCAGUUCCUGGUGUGUUAAAUGAGAAACUUCAGUGGAAUAGAAAGGGCUCAAGCAACUCCAGCACAGGGACACAGGUUCCAUUUCUUCUAAUGAUGUCACAUGAGAAAAUGGUCUUAAGUGGAAGUCACUUCACUCUCCUUCCUAGCACAUUUCGAUAAUUCUGAGGAAAAUGAGGUUCCCUGGGAGAAAGACAGCUCAAUAUUCAAAGUGGUGAACACAAACAUCUGGAUAACAGGUCAUGCACCUGUUUCACAUCUGGCAUCAGAAGAGAAAUGCACUCUCUAAGAAGAUACAUCCAAACCUCUCUGUGAUUCAGGUAAUGUGAAAUGUGUGCCCUGCAAAAGGAAUUCAGGUAUAACAAAACUGAAAUGUUAUUAUGUCCAUUAUAGGAGUGGCAACUUUGAAUCUAUGUGGUUGAUACCUGAAGUUCACUGGGAAAGACAGGAAUUAGUGACACGAACUUGACUAAAAAUCCAUCAAUG
rnacentral:lncRNA from 1 species